rnacentral:rRNA from 1 species
ACUCCUACGGGAGGCAGCAGCAAGGAAUAUUGCGCAAUGGGCGAAAGCCUGACGCAGCGACGUCGCGUGGGGGAUGAAUGUCUUCGGAUUGUAAACCCCUUUUCUCAGGGAAGAAUAAUGACGGUACCUGAGGAAUAAGUCUCGGCUAACUACGUGCCAGCAGCCGCGGUAAUACGUAGGAGGCGAGCGUUAUCCGGAUUUACUGGGCGUAAAGAGGGCGUAGGCGGUCUUAUAAGUCGGAUGUAAAAUCUCCCGGCUCAACUGGGAGGGCGCAUUCGAUACUGUUAGACUUGAGGGCAGCAGAGGAAAGCGGAAUUCCCGGUGUAGUGGUGAAAUGCGUAGAUAUCGGGAGGAACACCAGUGGCGAAGGCGGCUUUCUGGGCUGCAUCUGACGCUGAGGCCCGAAAGCGUGGGGAGCGAACAGGAUUAGAUACCCUGGUAGUCCACGCAGUAAACGAUGGAUACUAGGUAUGGGGAGCAUCGACCCUCUCCNUGCCGUAGCUAACGUGUUAAGUAUCCCGCCUGGGGAGUACGGUCGCAAGAUUAAAACUCAAAGGAAUUGACGGGGGCCCGCACAAGCNNCNNANCGUGUGGUUUAAUUCGAUGCNACGCGAANAACCUUACCAGGGCUUGACAUGUCNGNAAGUANUGAUCCGAAAGGUGAACCANCUGUUAAGUCA